rnacentral:rRNA from 1 species
UACGUAGGGGGCAAGCGUUGUCCGGAAUCAUUGGGCGUAAAGCGCGUGUAGGCGGCCCGGUAAGUCCGCUGUGAAAGUCGGGGGCUCAACCCUCGAAUGCCGGUGGAUACUGUCGGGCUAGAGUGCGGGAGAGGCGAGUGGAAUUCCUGGUGUAGCGGUGAAAUGCGCAGAUAUCAGGAGGAACACCAAUUGCGAAGGCAGCUCGCUGGAACGUAACUGACGCUGAGACGCGAAAGCGUGGGAGCAAACAGG